rnacentral:rRNA from 1 species
CUACGGGCGGCUCCAGUGAGGAAUAUUUCACAGUGGGGGGAACCCUGAUGCAGCAACGCCGCGUGGAGGAUGACGCAUUUCGGUGUGUAAACUCCUUUUAUAUGUCAAGAAAAUGACGGUAGCAUAUGAAUAAGCGCCGGCUAACUCCGUGCCAGCAGCCGCGGUAAUACGGAGGGCGCAAGCGUUACUCGGAAUCACUGGGCGUAAAGGACGCGUAGGCGGGUUGAAAAGUCAGGUGUGAAAGCCUACAGCUUAACUGUAGAACUGCACUUGAAACUCUCAAUCUAGAGUAUGGGAGGGGCAGAUGGAAUUAGUGGUGUAGGGGUAAAAUCCGUAGAUAUCACUAGGAAUACCUAAAGCGAAGGCGAUCUGCUGGAACAUUACUGACGCUAAGGCGUGAAAGCGUGGGGAGCAAACAGGAUUAGAUACCCCAGUAGUC